rnacentral:rRNA from 1 species
UACGGGGGGAGCAAGCGUUGUUCGGAUUUACUGGGCGUAAAGGGCGCGUAGGCGGCCAGCACAAGUCAGUUGUGAAAUCUCCGGGCUUAACUCGGAAAGGUCAACUGAUACUGUGCGGCUAGAGUGCAGAAGGGGCAACUGGAAUUCUCGGUGUAGCGGUGAAAUGCGUAGAUAUCGAGAGGAACACCUGCGGCGAAGGCGGGUUGCUGGGCUGACACUGACGCUGAUGCGCGAAAGCCAGGGAGCGAACGGG